GAGAAUGAGCCUUUUAUAAAAGAUUAAUCUACUAUAUCAUGAAUUCAAUCACUCAUUGUGCUCUAUUUAUAUUUAUUUGUCAUGUCGAGUGCAUUUUUUUGCAUGUAUUUACAUGUAAGUAUCAAGAUAAUUUACAAACUCAAAUCAUCACACACACCAAUUGGCAUUAAAAGUCAUGUUGUUUGUGCUACCUUCUACACAUACGCGCACCAAUUAGCAAUAAAAGACAUGUCGUUUAUGCUACCUCUUUCUUGCUUAUAAGUUGGAAUUGGCUCAUUUGUUAGUGAUCUCGAUGUAGUUCCUUUGUUCAUUGAGUCAUUUAUGGGGUAUUCUCAAUUGGGUUUCAUUUGCUUUUGUCAUUCGUGCUGUGAUUAAGCCCCGCUAGCUUGCUGAUAUUUAUGAUGGGUGAGCUGUUUUCGAGAUGAGUUCAACUAGAUUCUGUCGUGAACCGUUAACUGUGUUUUAUUCAAUAAAAAUUCAUGUAGUAUAAGGUUUCACAUUACUUGCUUCGCAAUCUAAACUGAGGAUAUCUAAUCAUGGUAAAGUGCAAAAAAGUAGGAGUCAUAAUAAUUGAUGAAGGAUAUGAUCAUAUUCUCAAUGAGAAAUAUAGAAAGAACUUUUCAUGGUCGUAAAAAAUAUAUUUUUGUUCUAAUUCCUAUUUGAUUGGUUUAGUUGUACCGUAGUAAAUAGAAUUCAGAAAUGAAAGAAAGAGGACAAUGAAACAAUCCAGAUUCGUGGUGCAACUAUUAUUGCAUUAGGUUACUACAUUAGAGAAGAGGGUUUCUUGUUUACUUGGUUACACUGUUUUUUGAAAUGGGGUUGAGCUGAAUUCUCAAUUGGUGUGUUAGGGAUCAUUCUGGUUGUAUUUAUGCAAAAUUUGGGGUUUUGGGGAAAUGCACUUUUGUGUGGUUCUCCAAAUUUUGAGUUAUAGGUUAUGAUGAAUUGGGUAUUUGGAGAAUUUCGAUUUAAUGUGAGUUUAGUUCGUCUUUCAUUUUGUUGUCCCUUCCCAUUUGUCCAUUUCUUGGCUGCUCCUUCCAUUGUAAAAAAAAAAAAAUGGAAUUGAUUCAAUUGUAUAUUUUCUUA
rnacentral:lncRNA from 1 species